GUGUGUGUGUGUGUGUUUACCCCCCACCCCCUUCCACCCCUGCGCAAUAGCACCAGUCCUCCAAAGAGGAAUCUUGAAUUGGUGAAUUACGCCAAGCCCUCGUUUCUGAAACUAGAGUCGCGGCAUCUGAUGGCACUUGUCAGGCAGGACGACCAGACUAGGAAGGAGAGACCAGAAGCUAGAGCUUGGGAGGCUCCGUGGACGGUUCCCGGGGGAGCGGGUGACAGGCGGUGAGGCUCUCGCGUCCUCUGAUUCCCGCACAGUGACCGAGGGAGAGUGUGCUAGCAAUGGCUUUGCUGCCGAACGCGUGGUCUUGCCAUUUUCGUGUCCCGAUACGGCACCCACGAUCGCCCGAUCGAUCGGAAAUAGGAGGGAAAGGUAGAGUGGAAAAUUGAUUUCUUGCAGAGACUGAGGCGCCGAAUGAUAGAGGGAAUAAACAUUUGCCCUGGAUAAAAAUGUUCUUGGCUGUGCUCCUGCCCUAAUAAGGAUCUAGACCAGAAGAUUUUCUUCAGUCAUCAAAUUUUACCCAAAAGAUUACUAUUGUGUUAUAUAUGUCUGUUUUACACAGGUUGACCGAUGUUGGUUGGGGGAUCUGAGGUCCACACAAGGAGGUCGAAUGUCCUGACUUAGAUUUAUUACAAAUUCAACCUUAACAAUUGUGAUAUAUAGAAAGCAUACUUUGCAUAUAUGAUCUUCUUCUGCUGUCUAAACCUACUUACCUAAAUUGCUAUUCAAAAAAAUACAGUUGUUUGUUGAGGACCCAACCUGACCUAAGUUAGAAAAUGUAUCAUUAAAAUUUUUAUUUUAUAUGUGAAA